rnacentral:rRNA from 1 species
GAUGAACGCUGGCGGCGUGCCUAAUACAUGCAAGUCGAGCGAACGGACGAGAAUCUUGCUUCUCUGAUGUUAGCGACGGACGGGUGAGUAACACGUUGAUAACCUACCUAUAAUACUGGGAUAACUUCGGGAAACCGGAGCUAAUACCGGAUAAUAUUUUGAACCGCAUGGUUCAAAAGUGAAAGACGGUCUUGCUGUCACUUAUAGAUGGAUCCGCGCUGCAUUAGCUAGUUGGUAAGGUAACGGCUUACCAAGGCAACGAUGCAUAGCCGACCUGAGAGGGUGAUCGGCCACUCUGGAACUGAGACACGGUCCAGACUCCUACGGGAGGCAGCAGUAGGGAAGCUUGCGCAAUGGGCGAAAGCCUGACGGAGCAACGGCGCGUGGGUGAUGAAGGUCUGCGGAUCGUAAAACUCUGUUAUUGGGGAAGAACAUAUGUGUAAGUAACUGUGCACAUCUUGACGGUACCUAAUCAGAAAGCCACGGCUAACUACGUG